UUCUUUCGGUUAUUUUCGUAAACUAAGCGACGGACACGCCCGAUCGGCCAUCCCGUGACUCUUGUUAAAGCAAUUCCUGAGAACGCCCUAAUUGCCGCGAGCAAUCCCUGGCCGCUGAUUGGCUGAGGCCCUUCCUCUCAUUAGCUCCUUUAACUUUAAAUGUGCUGCCUGCGGGAAAGAGAUUCCGCGGGUCGGAAGUUCGUGAGGUUGGUGUUAGUUGCUGUUUGGCUGAGGACGGUGAAGCGGGAACGAUUUUUUUGCGAAGUGUCUUUCCUUUGAGAAAACUGCCUGCGGGACGAGAUUAAACCGGAGUCCGAAAGGAGACAGCGCAGCCCCGUUCGAAAAGAAAUUGGUAAGGCUGUAGCCAGUAGAAGAAAGCACCCUUGUCUCCCAAGGAGGAUAAAGUCGUCAGGAUGUCUCAGCAGGGAGCUGUUCUCCAGAGCUACAAUAAUGAACUUGUGAAGUAUAUGGAAGAACUGUGUACACAGAAAAAUGAUAUAGAUUUGCAAAUUGGAAAACUGAUAGAAGACAAGGCUAAAAUUCUGAGUGAAAUUGAGGUGUUAACCAAACAAUUAGAACGUGUAUGUGAAAGUUUACUUUGGAAACACACCUUACAAAGGAAGCUUGAUAACAUUCUUUCUGAUGGAAUAUUAGCAUAUGACAAGAUUUUGGAUAGUUCUAAAAUGUUGAUAGAUGUUUUGAAAAAAGAAAUAGAGAAUUUAGACAAAUUGAUAGAAUUGAAAAGGCUAUUCAUUGAAUCGUACCCUGACUAAGCCAAUGCUAACACUGGGAAACUGUU